GAUGAACGCUGGCGGCGUGCCUAAUACAUGCAAGUCGAGCGAACGGACGAGAAGCUUGCUUCUCUGAUGUUAGCGGCGGACGGGCGAGUAACACGUGGAUAACCUACCUAUAAGACUGGGAUAACUUCGGGAAACCGGAGCUAAUACCGGAUAAUAUUUUGAACCGCAUGGUUCAAAAGUGAAAGACGGUCUUGCUGUCACUUAUAGAUGGAUCCGCGCUGCAUUAGCUAGUUGGUAAGGUAACGGCUUACCAAGGCAACGAUGCAUAGCCGACCUGAGAGGGUGAUCGGCCACACUAGAACUGAGACACGUUCCAGACACCUACGGGAGGCGACAGUAGGUAUGCUGCCGCAAUGGGCGAAAGCCUGACGGAGCAACGCCGCGGGGGUGAUUAAGGUCUUCGGAUCGUAAAACUCUGUUAUUAGGGAGGAACAUAUGUGUAAGGGACAGUGCACAUCUUGAGGGUACCUAAUCAGAAAGCCACGGCUAACUACGUG
rnacentral:rRNA from 1 species